GUGCCUAACACAUGCAAGUCGAACGAGAAAGUGGAGCAAUCCAUGAGUACAGUGGCGUACGGGUGAGUAACACGUGACUAACCUACCCUCGAGUGGGGAAUAACUUCGGGAAACCGAGGCUAAUACCGCAUAACAUCUACGGAUCAAAUGCGCAAGCAGCUUGAGGAGGGGGUCGCGGCUGAUUAGCUCGUUGGCGGGGUAACGGCCCACCAAGGCAAUGAUCAGUAGCCGGCCUGAGAGGGCGCACGGCCACACUGGAACUGAAACACGGUCCAG
rnacentral:rRNA from 1 species